AAAAGACUGUUAUGUGACAAAGAGAUCAAUAAGAGGCCAGAAUCUCCUGGACCUGAACCCAGCUGUGUUUCCUUAAAGAGCAACAUGUCGAAGGAAAUUGGUGCUGACUUUAAAGGCUGUUCUUCUGCUGCUGAGAGAGCUUCUGCACAGUGUGGAGAAAGAUCCAGAAGCAG